AGAGCGAACGCUGGCGGCAGGCUUAACACAUGCAAGUCGAGCGCCCCGCAAGGGGAGCGGCAGACGGGUGAGUAACACGUGGGAACGUACCCUUUGGUUCAGAACAGCCCAGGGAAACUUGGGCUAAUACCGGAUAAGUCCGUAAGGAGAAAGAUUUAUCGCCAAAGGAUCGGCCCGCGUCUGAUUAGCUAGUUGGUAGGUAAUGGCCUACAAGGCUACGAUCAGUAGCUGGUCUGAGAGGAUGAUCAGCCACAUUGGGACUGAGACACGGCCCAAACUCCUACGGGAGCAGCAGUGGGAAUAGUUGGACAAGUGGG
rnacentral:rRNA from 1 species